UACGUAGGGGGCAAGCGUUGUCCGGAUUUAUUGGGCGUAAAGAGCUCGUAGGUGGUUCGGUAAGUCGGAUGUGAAAUCUCCAGGCUCAACCUGGAGGGGUCAUUCGAUACUGCCGUGACUAGAGUUCGGUAGGGGAGUGUGGAAUUCCUGGUGGAGCGGUGAAAUGCGCAGAUAUCAGGAGGAACACCCAUGGCGAAGGCAGCUCGCUGGCCUAAAACUGACGCUGAGGCGCGAAAGCGUGGGGAGCAAACAGG
rnacentral:rRNA from 1 species